GAGAGCCGGUAGACCGGCGUGCGGCCGGGCGGAGGCGGGCGGAGGUGGUCGGUCCGCGCCAGGGCCACGCGUUUCCGGUCCCCCGCCUUCCCAGGACAAGUGCUCCCCGAGUACCGGCGGCGCGGAGUGGCGGGUGUGGGCCAGGGGCCCGGAGCGGGGAUGCCGCGGCGGGGCGGAGGCGGUGCUCCCUCCGCGUAGGUCCCCAAGUUUUAACGGUGGUCAGUUAGGAGGUAUAGGAGAAAAUUCGCUCCAAAGAACACGUGGUCACACCCAUCCGUAUUCGUGUCACUAAAGUGAAGUCCGAAUUGGUGUAACCGCGCGCUCCGCGCCGAUAGAGUGGGAAACGUGAUCAAGCCCUUCGCGGAGCCAGCCCGUGGCUCCCGGGACUGGAUUGUUACACGGGGCGGGGCGCGCUGUCGGCCCCAGUCAUGGACUCGGUCUCCCUCCUCCCGGGGCAGAAGGUUAGCGCACCUGCCCUGGGGACACCUGUUUUUGAGGUGAGAGCUGCUGAGAGUGUGGCAUCUGGCCGCAGGCCCCUGGGAUGCGCGCGGCUGGAGUGAACAUCCAAGAAUGUGACCGCGCUGGGGGACGGGGCGGGGGCGCAUCCUUCUCCCGGGAACGUUUCUUUUUCCUAUCGGACCUUGACCCCCGACCCCACCGGCCGCCGCUCUCAUGGCGAUUCUCAGCUCCGCCUGCACGUUAGGAUGAACUGGAGCGCUUUUCAACUCCGCAGAGCUGGACGCUGCCACCGGAAAGGCUCAGCUGGUGCGCGGUGGGGCGGGAGAAUUCCUGUUUUUCAGAGCUUCCCGGAUGAUUCCCGCCGCCAGCCACCGCAUUCGGGACUGGGCUUCAUUCCCUGAUCCUCUCCUGGACCCAGACAACUGAAACGGACCAUGCUUGGGCAUCCUCUCCAGCUCCACAGUUCCCCCAGAUGCUGUCUUUGUUGAUGCCUCUCAUCUCUUUAUAUUGUGCCUACUGUGGAUUUUUAUGAGAUUUCUGAAUAAGAACCCUAAGGAGAACGUGGGUGCAAAUGGCAGAGAUCUCAGGAGCAAGAGUGGCCACUGGCAUGAACAAGAGGCAAAAGGCUCCAUCAUGGCUCAGCAUGGCACUGCUCCCAGCCCACAGACUGAAGCAGACACCUAAUCACAAUUGCUACCUAACCACGACCUUCUUAUCUCAUUGAGGACUCUGAGAGGCA